rnacentral:rRNA from 1 species
UACGUAGGGGGCAAGCGUUGUCCGGAUUUACUGGGCGUAAAGAGCGUGUAGGCGGCCAAGCAGGUCCGUUGUGAAAACUGGAGGCUUAACCUCCAGACGUCGACGGAAACCGCGUGGCUGGAGUCCGGAAGAGGAGAGUGGAAUUCCUGGUGUAGCGGUGAAAUGCGCAGAUAUCAGGAAGAACACCAAUGGCGAAGGCAGCUCUCUGGGACGGUACUGACGCUGAGACGCGAAAGCGUGGGGAGCGAACAGG